rnacentral:rRNA from 1 species
GGUUGAUCCUGCCGGAGGUUACUGCUAUCGGUGUUUGACUAAGCCAUGCGAGUCAAAUGUUCUUCGUGAACAUGGCGUAAUGCUCAGUAACACGUGGAUAACCUGCCCUUAGGUCCGGCAUAAUCUCGGGAAACUGAGGAUAAUUCCGGAUAGCUCUUUUUGGCCGGAAAUGCAUUAAGAGUAAAAGUAUCUCGCCUAAGGAUGGGUCUGCGGCCUAUCAGGUAGUAGAGGGUGUAACGCACCUUCCAGCCGACAACGGGUACGGGUUGUGAGAGCAAGAGCCCGGAGAUGGAUUCUGAGACAUGAAUCCAGGCCCUACGGGGCGCAGCAGGCGCGAAAACUUUACAAUGCAGGAAACUGUGAUAAGGAAACACCGAGUGCCCGCAUCUAAUGCGGGCUGUCCGCGUACCCAAAUCGUACGCGUCAGCAAGGACCGGGCAAUACCGGUGCCAGCCGCCGCGGUAAUACCGGUGGUCCGAGUGGUAGCCGCUUUUAUUUGGUCUAAAGGGUCCGUAGCCGGUCCGGUCAGUCCAUUGGUAAAUCCGCGCGCUCAACACGCGGUCUUCAGUGGAUACUUCCGGACUUGGGACCGGGAGAGGUUAGAGGUACUAUAGGGGUAGGAGUGAAAUCCUGUAAUCCUUAUGAGACCACCUGUGGCGAAGGCGUCUUACCGGAACGGGUCCGACGGUGAGGGACGAAAGCUGGGGGCACGAACCGGAUUAGAUACCCGGGUAGUCCGAGCCGUAAACUAUGCCCGCUGGGUGUCAGGCAUGGCAUGACUGUGUCCGGUGCCGUAGAGAAGUCGUGAAGCGGGCCACCUGGGAAGUACGGCCGCAAGGCUGAAACUUAAAGGAAUUGGCGGGGGAGCACUACAACGGGUGGAGCCUGCGGUUUAAUUGGACUCAACGCCGGAAAACUCACCAGGGGAGACAGCAAUAUGUAGGUCAGGCUGAAGGUCUUACCUGAAUCGCUGAGAGGAGGUGCAUGGUCGUCGCCAGUUCGUACUGUGAAGCAUCCUGUUAAGUCAGGCAACGAGCGAGACCCUU